GGGGGACUGGAGGGAGGUUGUGUGUGUGUGUGUGCGCACGCUUACUUGCUCAGCUGUGUCCGACUCUUUGUGACCUCAGGGACUGUAGCCCACCAGGCUCCUCUGUCCAUGGGAUUCUCCAGUUCUCAUGACGGUCGUAGUGGCCCAGAGCUGUCUACUUGCAAGAAUAACAAUUUUUUGGAUCCAGGGCUGGUGUUGUUUUGGAAGAGAACCACGUGCAGGCGAUUCUCUGAUCAAGGAGGGUGACCGGCUUCUCAAGGCAUCGCCAUCUCCAGGCAGGGCUGACACAUUCUUCCUUUAGGAGACGGGCCUUUUCAUCUUUACAGCCAUUGAGAACAUUAUAAUCAACACGCCUGCAAAGAUUUUUGGACCUGCGUCAUGAGAGAAUGUUUUAGGGGACUCAGCAGCCAUUUUUCAGUAAAAAUAAAUAUUCAUGUGUUUCCAAAAAAUGCUCCCAUGUCGACCUUAGUUAACCACAUGCAGUAGAGACAAUAAUAGAAGUGAUCCUCACAUUUCCUUGGGCAACAGGUAAACGCAGAAAGAACUAUGUGUGGCAUUAAAGGAGAACCAGAGGCCCAGAACCGUCGAGGACUUCGGUGAAUGCCACGAGACCAGCGUCUGUGAAAUGGCAGUGACAAGGCCGGUCACCAUACCCCAUCCGGAACGGCUCAGAGUGGAGCCAUUUCAGAGAGUUUAUCUUCCGUCCCCUCAAGGCCCACACUGAGGAAUUGGGCUUCAGUAGGAUCAGCGCCCCUUUAGGUAUCCGUGAGCCUCGGUGACUGAUACUCCUAACAGUGCUUUAGGGUGGCUGGGGCUUCCCCAGUGGCUGAGAGGUAAAGCAAUGUAGGAGAUGCAGGAGACGCAGGUUCGAUCCCUGGGUUGGGAAGAUCCCCUGGAGAAGGGAAUGGCAAACUACUCCAGUAUUCUUG
ensembl:lncRNA